AUGGAACUACCCGAUGUCAGGACAAGGGUGUUAAGAUAAGGUGUUUGAUCAGAGGAGCAUAAUAGCAUGUAUACGUGUGUCAUUAGUGAUAAACAUAUUUUCAUAUUAUAUAAUAUGGGCUCCCUAUGGUUACGGAUCAAUAAAAUAGAGAGGGCUUUUUUUGUUAGCGUACAUGACUUGGUCCUCAACUACAACUCACUCAGCUGCACACGACUCCCUAUAAUCUUCUACAUGAGAUACAGAAUAAUAGGGCUCUUGGGUGUGUACAACAUGUAGGAGUACCCUCGAGAUAGUAACAAUGUGUGCUGCUAGUAUCUCUUCAACCCGGUUGUUCAUGCUCCUUAAAUUUCCUGGAAAAAAUAUCAAUCCCAUUCGUAGUUAUCAGUCCAGGUUUACAUCAGGAUAUCCAUUAUAACAAAACCAAAUAACUAAAUUUCUGAACAAAAUUAGUAGAUUUAUACAAAAGUAUAGAAUACAACAUAGAAACAUUGGCUUUCAAGAAUUAUAUGGGUUAAAACUGAAUUAAACUAUGUUUUGAGGAAAUGGAUAGCCACUAAAUCACUUUGUCCAAUCAAAUUUGGAUGGGUUCAUACUAAAUACUCCCUCUGUCCGAAAUACUUGUUAUAAGGAUGGAUGUCUCUAGAUGUAUUUUAGUUCUAAAUACAUCCACUUUUAUCCAUUUUUGGGAGAAGUAAUUCCGGACGGAGGGAGUAUGUACCUAUCAUCAAAGUGUCCUGCGGUAUAGUGGGCACCUAAUAGUACAAGCUACCUGUUGAGAGAAAUUAAGCUAUGGAAUCUCUAUGAAGAACAGAUCAUAAGUGAUGGGAGGUCGAACCUUGCGACUUGACAAAAAUUUCGCAGUUCAUCUUCUGUUGUUGAGCACACAGUAGGACACCUCGAAUAGCUGAAACCUUUCAAGCUACAAAAUUUGAAAAAUGUAGGGAUGAGUCAUGCCUCUGUUGU
rnacentral:lncRNA from 1 species